rfam:Diaporthe ampelina DA_912_scaffold_v01_452, whole genome shotgun sequence.
ACAUACGGCCACAGAUACAGGAAAAUACGGGAUCCCGUCCGCUCUCCCAUCGUCAAGCCUGUGAUCGCUGGAUUAGUAGUUGGGUCGGUGACGACCAGCGAAUACCCGGUGCUGUAUGUU